rnacentral:rRNA from 1 species
ACUUAAAGAGGGGCUUGCGCCACAUUAGUUAGUUGGUAGGGUAAAAGCCUACCAAGAYGAUGAUGUGUAGCUGAACUGAGAGGUUGAACAGCCACAUUGGGACUGAGACACGGCCCAAACUCCUACGGGAGGCAGCAGUAGGGAAUUUUCGGCAAUGGAGGAAACUCUGACCGAGCAACGCCGCGUGAACGAUGAAGUACUUCGGUAUGUAAAGUUCUUUUAUCGAAGAAGAAAACGUAGUGGAAAAACUACCUUGACGCUAUUCGAUGAAUAAGCCCCGGCUAACUAUGUGCCAGCAGCCGCGGUAAUACAUAGGGGGCGAGCGUUAUCCGGAAUUAUUGGGCGUAAAGGGUGCGUAGGCGGUUUGAUAAGUCUCUAGUUUAAAUUCAGUGCUUAACGCUGUCCUGCUAGAGAAACUGUCUGACUUGAGUAAGAUAGAGGCAAGCGGAAUUCCAUGUGUAGCGGUAAAAUGUGUAAAUAUAUGGAGGAACACCAGAGGCGUAGGCGGCUUGCUGGGUCUUUACUGACGCUGAGGCACGAAAGCGUGGGGAGCAAACAGGAUUAGAUACCCUGGUAGUCCACGCCGUAAACGAUGAGUACUAAGUGUCGGGGUUCAUCCCUCGGUACUGAAGUCAACACAUUAAGUACUCCGCCUGAGUAGUACGUACGCAAGUAUGAAACUUAAAGGAAUUGACGGGAUCCCGCACAAGCGGUGGAUCAUGUUGUUUAAUUCGAAGAUACACGAAAAACCUUACC